CCUCUGGUGUCCUUGGGUGGAUAAGAUGGCUCCUCCCCUCCUGGUUCCUGGCUCAGUGGUUAUCCUGCCUCCCCUCUGCUGUCCAGCCCUCCCACCCCUGCCGGGCUGGCUGCUUUGCCCUCAGCAGUCUUAAGUCAAGUUCUCCGCUAAACCUUCUUAGGGGAAACAUGAGCUGUGGCAAAUGCAGCAGAAAUGAUCGCCUUCCACGAACUCUGUUCCAUGCUGGGCCAAGCGGGGCCACAGCAGGAGACUGAGAGGAGACUGAGAGGAGUCUCCAUCUGGAACUGCACUGGGGCAGUGGAAAGGGAGGCAGAGGCUAACCAGCGGUGGUUCAA
rnacentral:sRNA from 1 species